rnacentral:tRNA from 1 species
CUCUGUGGCGCAAUUGGUUAGCGCGUUCGGCUGUUAACCGAAAGGUUGCUGGUUCAAUCCGCAGCCAGGG